GAUCCUGGCUCAGGACGAACGCUGGCGGCGCGCCUAACACAUGCAAGUCGAACGAGCGAGAGAAAGCUUGCUUUCUCGAGCGAGUGGCGAACGGGUGAGUAACGCGUGAGGAACCUACCUCAAAGAGGGGGACAACAGUUGGAAACGACUGCUAAUACCGCAUAAGCCCACAGGUCGGCAUCGACCAGAGGGAAAAGGAGCAAUCCGCUUUGAGAUGGCCUCGCGUCCGAUUAGCUAGUUGG
rnacentral:rRNA from 1 species